UGUGCUGGGAGAGAGCACAACCGUGGCAGCCAGGCUGAGGACUCUGUGGACCAAUUCCAGGAGGAGUUUAGACCCAAGGUCAAGAAGAGCUGCAAAGCCUUGCCCAACUUCCCUGUGUCUCUGCUCCCAGAUGGCCUUCCAUCCAGCACUGCAAAUGGCAGCAAGCAGGCUCAGCCCAGCUGCGCUCCUGCCCCGGGUUUGGCUGCCAAACUGCAGAAGACUGCAGGAAGCUGCAAGACUGACGGGCCAAGCACAGGCAAAGAGGGGAUCUUCCAACCUGCCUCUCUUCUGCAGAAAAGUGCUGAGCGCGAGAAACCAUCUGGGAAAUGUCUGAAGAAAACCAAACACCUGGAAGUGCCGCAAAGCAGAAAGAGGUCGUUCCUCAGAAUGGACGACCCCUUUGACACUGCAAGUAUAUGCGAUGUGGUCACCGUACCCAUGAAGGUUGUGAAGUUCUCAUAGUCCACCUUGCACUGCAGCUCCUCGCCGGCCACACGAGGAGCUUCCCUUCAACACCCACCCGUGCCCCAACACCUCCUUCGUUCUGUUCAUUGUUAACGUUUUCAU
rnacentral:lncRNA from 1 species